ACGCAGGCACGCGGCUGUCCCCGUCCGCGUGGCCUCCAACUCGACUCGUUCCCUUUCCUUCCUUCUUCCCCUCGUCUCCCCAACCAGAAACCUAAACAGAAUCCCAACCCAACCCACCCCCGCAGCCAAUCCCACCAGACGCCAGCCAGCCAGCCAACCCCAAUCUCGACUCCUCCGUCGCCGAAUCCGGUUCCGAGUCCAUAUUUGAGGUGCCACCAUGUUCAACAGGUUAUUUGGGAAGCCCAAGGAGCAGGCCAACGCCGGCGCGUUGGCCACUUUGGAUAAGUUAAACGAGACUCUUGAUAUGCUGGAGAAGAAAGAGAAAGUGUUAGAGAAAAAAGCAGGUGCUGAGCUUGAGAGGGCCAAGGAGUUCUCAAAAGCAAAGAAUAAAAGAGCGGCUAUCCAAUCAUUGAAGAGGAAAAAACUUUAUGAGCAGCAAAUUGAGCAGCUUGGGAAUUUCCAGUUGAGAAUCCAUGAUCAGAUGAUCAUGUUAGAAGCUGCUAAAGCUACGACAGAGACUGUUGAUGCAUUGAGGACUGGAGCUAAAGCUAUGAAAGCAAUGCAAAAAGCAACAAAUAUCGACGAUGUCGACAAGACUAUGGAUGAAAUUAAUGAACAGACAGAAAACAUGAAACAAAUACAAGAUGCUCUGUCAUCUCCUCUUGGAGCUUCUGCUGAUUUUGACGAGGAUGAACUGGAAGCGGAGCUGGAAGAGUUGGAGGGAGCAGAAUUGGAAUCCCAACUACUGGAGCCUGUUGUAACUAUUCCUAUUCAUACGACGACCGUGCCAGGCAAGGCGCAACCAACUCGCCCUGCUCCGCAGAAAGCGUCGGCUGAGGAGGAUGAGCUUGCUGCACUGCAAGCUGAAAUGGCAUUGUGAUCAGGUAGCCUUCUCCUGCGUUCUAGACAUGGUUACUUAAACUAUGCCUUCUCAUUUGUCUUUCCACACCAUCUUCCAUCAUUUGAUCAAACACCUCUAGGACUUGCAGUUUCUGGGAGGAACAACAUACAAGAAGGCCCCCAGUGAAUGAAGAGGUGAAAUGUACAAAUGAUUGGCUGGACGGUAUGUGGUCGCAGGCGAGUCUGGCUACACAUAUAUUUGGCCGUGUGUGUAUAAUCUUGGGUGGGAGACAUUUGACGAACGAGGCAGGAAAGGCUGCUCCAGUCCAGUGUUUAUUUCUAUCUAGUUGUUUGAUUGAAGGUCUGUUUCCCGGAUAUAAUUUUUGGCACGGUCAGCUCCAUUCCAGGUCGUGUGCAAUGCUCAUUGUUGUGGCACACUAUUUACUGUUGACCCGUAUUAUCUCUUGCCAUGUAAACCAAGUUAUCUCAUUCCAGUGUUCGCUAAUUUGGUGUGUUGACGGGACA